rnacentral:rRNA from 1 species
UCUGGUGCCAGCAGCCGCGGUAAUUCCAGCUCCAAUAGCGUAUAUUAAACUUGUUGCAGUUAAAAAGCUCGUAGUUGAAUUUUAGCGUGUUCGAGUUUGCCAUUCGUUUGGCUUUUUCGAGUUCGCUUUUGGGUUUUCCCUUUUUACUUUGAGAAAAUUAGAGUGUUUCAAGCAGACUUUUGUCUUGAAUACUUCAGCAUGGAAUAAUAGAGUAGGACUUUGGUUCUAUUUUGUUGGUUAUUGAACCUUAGUAAUGGUUAAUAGGAACGUUGGGGGCA